rnacentral:rRNA from 1 species
GAAACCUACGGGACGCAGCAGUGAGGAAUAUUGGUCAAUGGGCGGAAGCCUGAACCAGCCAAGUCGCGUGAGGGAAGAAGGCCCUGCGGGUCGCAGACCUCUUUGGACGGGGAGCAAGGCCGCCGACGUGUCGGCGGAAGGAGAGUACCCGUAGAACAAGCAUCGGCUAACUCCGUGCCAGCAGCCGCGGUAAUACGGAGGAUGCGAGCGUUAUCCGGAUUUAUUGGGUUUAAAGGGUGCGCAGGCGGCACGGCAAGCCGGCGGUCAAAUCGCGGGGCUCAACCCCGAAACUGCCUCUAAUACUG